AUCAUUAUCGAAAUUAUAGGUGAGGGUUGUAGCUGGCCUCUCGGGGCAUGUGCACACCUGAGCCCCUUAAUCCACACACACCUGUGAACCUAAUGUAAGGGCCCCUGUCAUGGGGGCCCCUACGUCUUAUCAUCGACCCUAUUGUAUGUCUCAGAAUGUGAACUGAUAUCCUCGCUUUGAAAAGCGUUGAUAAAAACCUUAACACAACUUUCAACAACGGAUCUCUUGGCUCUCGCAUCGAUGAAGAACGCAGCGAAAUGCGAUAAGUAAUGUGAAUUGCAGAUUUUCAGUGAAUCAUCGAAUCUUUGAACGCACCUUGCGCCCCUUGGUAUUCCGAGGGGCAUGCCUGUUUGAGUGUCAUUGAAAUAUCAACCUCGGGUGGAUUCGAUUCCACCGCGCGGCUUGGACUUUGGAGAGUGCUGGCGCUGGGUCGGCUCCUCUUAAAUGCAUCAGCGGAAGAACCUCUGGAAGUCAGCGUGAUAAUCGUGUUGCGCUGUCCACCGGGUCGGGACCCGCUUCUAAUGGUCUUCGGACAAGCUUACAUCAAAUUUGACCUCAAAUCAGGUAGGACU
rnacentral:rRNA from 1 species